GUGGCAGAGCGGUCCAAUGCGAUUCCCCGCUAAGGAAUUCCCUUCGGGGGCGCGAGUUCGAAUCUCGCAGGUGUCU